rnacentral:rRNA from 1 species
AACGAACGCUGGCGGCAGGCUUAACACAUGCAAGUUGAACGGGAUUUGUGUGGUGCUUGCACCAUAUAAUGAGAGUAGCGCACUGGUGAGUAACACGUGGGAACGUGCCUUUUAGUGGGGGAUAACAUCUGGAAACGGAUGCUAAUACCGCAUACGCCCUGAGGGGGGAAAGAUUUAUUGCUAAGAGGUCGGCCCGCGGUAGAUUAGGCAGUUGGUGGGGUAAAGGCCUACCAAACCUACGAUCUAUAGCUGGUCUGAGAGGACGAUCAGCCACAUUGGAACUGAGACACGGUCCAGACUCCUACGGGAGGCAGCAGUGAGGAAUAUUGGGGCAAUGGAGGCAACUCUGACCCAGCCAUGCCGCGUGAGUGAGAAGGUUUCGAAUUGUAAAGCUCUUUCGGGUGUGAAGAUGAUGACGGUAACACCAGAAGAAGCCCCGGCAAACUUCGUG